rnacentral:rRNA from 1 species
UACAGAGGGUGCAAACGUUGCUCGGAAUCAUUGGGCGUAAAGCGCACGUAGGCGGUCCGACAAGUGGGGAGUGAAAGCCCUCGGCUUAACCGAGGAAGUGCUUUCCAAACUGCCGGACUUGAGUACGCAAGAGGAUCGCGGAAUUCCCGGUGUAGAGGUGAAAUUCGUAGAUAUCGGGAGGAACACCAGCGGCGAAGGCGGCGAUCUGGGGUGAUACUGACGCUGAGGUGCGAAAGCGUGGGGAGCAAACAGG